UUGUUUCAACAACUUUCAAUAGCAUUCCAAAACACUCUUAUUUGAGUUCAAAUUCUUCAAACAAGCUCUAAUGUCCAAACCCAAUUUCAGGUUCACAAAAUGUUGUAGAAAAAUACAAAUAAUGCUUAGGGAACUUGUAUUACAUCAACAGAUUUCAUUUAAAUGCAAAAUUCGAAGAUUCGAACAAGCUGGCAGGUUCGCUAUUCUAUUGCUUCUCAAAAACUACAUCAACAGAUUUCAUUUAAAUGUAAAAUUCUAAGAUUUAGACAAGCUGGCAGGUUCGCUAUUCCAUUGUU
rnacentral:lncRNA from 1 species